UACCCGCGGCCCGAGUGUUGCUCAUUAUUAUUGAGCCUAAAGCGUCCGUAGCUGGCCAGGCAAAUCUCCGGGUAAAUCGGGCGGCUCAACCGUCCGAAUUCCGGAGACACUGCUUGGCUUGAGAUCGGGAGAGGGAGAAGGUACUCCCUGGGUAGGGGUAAAAUCCUGUAAUCCGGGGGGGACCAACAGUGGCGAAGGCGUUCUCCUAGGACGAAUCUGACAGUGAGGGACGAAGCCCUAGGGCGCAAACGGG
rnacentral:rRNA from 1 species